UACGAUUCUGAGGACGAGCAUGCUAGCAAACGUACAAAGACACUAAAGAAGCCCCCACCGUCUAAGCGCAAGUCUGCUGCAGGCCUUGAAAAAGAUCUCUUCGAUUCGGAAGACGAACAAGUUCAUAAGCGAGUCGGCAAAGAGACGAAGAGACCUGCAGCGUUGAAGCGCAAACGAGCUCGGGCUGACGGUUGGGAGCUGGAGCUGGACGACGAGGA